UACGAAGGGUGCAAGCGUUACUCGGAAUUACUGGGCGUAAAGCGUGCGUAGGUGGUUUGUUAAGUCUGUUGUGAAAGCCCCGGGCUCAGCCUGGGAAUGGCAAUGGAUACUGGCAAGCUAGAGUGCGGUAGAGGGUAGUGGAAUUCCCGGUGUAGCGGUGAAAUGCGUAGAGAUCGGAAGGAACAUCAGUGGCGAAAGCGACUUCCUGGACCAGUACCGACGUUCAGGCACGAAAGCGUGGGGAGCAAACAGG
rnacentral:rRNA from 1 species